GUGCCAGCCGCCGCGGUAAUACGUAGGGGGCAAGCGUUAUCCGGAUUUACUGGGUGUAAAGGGAGCGCAGACGGCCAAGCAAGUCUGAAGUGAAAUGCAUGGGCUCAACCCAUGAAUUGCUUUGGAAACUGUUAGGCUUGAGUGUCGGAGAGGUAAGCGGAAUUCCUAGUGUAGCGGUGAAAUGCGUAGAUAUUAGGAGGAACACCGGAGGCGAAGGCGGCUUACUGGACGACAACUGACGUUGAGGCUCGAAGGCGUGGGGAGCAAACAGGAUUAGAUA
rnacentral:rRNA from 1 species